GAUGAACGCUGGCGGCGUGCCUAAUACAUGCAAGUCGAGCGAACCACUUCGGUGGUGAGCGGCGAACGGGUGAGUAACACGUAGGUGAUCUGCCCAUCAGACGGGGACAACGAUUGGAAACGAUCGCUAAUACCGGAUAGGACGAAAGUUUAAAGGUGCUUCUGGCACCGCUGAUGGAUGAGCCUGCGGCGCAUUAGCUAGUUGGUAGGGUAAAGGCCUACCAAGGCGACGAUGCGUAGCCGACCUGAGAGGGUGAACGGCCACACUGGGACUGAGACACGGCCCAGACUCCUACGGGAGGCAGCAGUGGGGAAUAUUGGACAAUGGGGGGAACCCUGAUCCAGCCAUGCCGCGUGUGUGACGAAGGCCUUAUGGUUGUAAAGCACUUUAAGCGAGGAGGAGGCUCUUUUGGUUAAUACCCAAGAUGAGUGGACGUUACUCGCAGAAUAAGCACCGGCUAACUCUGUGCCAGCAGCCGCAGUAAAAC
rnacentral:rRNA from 1 species